GAUCCUAGCUCAGGAUGAACGCUAGCUACAGGCUUAACACAUGCAAGUUGAGGGGAAACGACAUCGAAAGCUUGCUUUUGAUGGGCGUCGACCGGCGCACGGGUGAGUAACGCGUAUCCAACCUGCCCAUCACUUGGGGAUAACCUUGCGAAAGUAAGACUAAUACCCAAUGAUAUCUCUAGAAGACAUCUGAAGGAGAUUAAGGAUUUAUCGGUGAUGGAUGGGGAUGCGU
rnacentral:rRNA from 1 species